rnacentral:rRNA from 1 species
GACGAACGCUGGCGGCGUGCCUAAUACAUGCAAGUCGAGCGGACUUUCAAGAAGCUUGCUUUUUGAAAGUUAGCGGCGGACGGGUGAGUAAUACGUGGGCAACCUGCCUGUAAGACGGGGAUAACUCCGGGAAACCGGGGCUAAUACCGGAUAAUAUCUUUCUUCGCAUGAAGGAAGGUUGAAAGGCGGCGCAAGCUGCCGCUUGCAGAAGGGCCCGCGGCGCAUUAGCUAGUUGGUGAGGUAACGGCUCACCAAGGCGACGAUGCGUAGCCGACCUGAGAGGGUGAUCGGCCACACUGGGACUGAGACACGGCCCAGACUCCUACGGGAGGCAGCAGUAGGGAAUCUUCCGCAAUGGACGAAAGUCUGACGGAGCAACGCCGCGUGAGCGAAGAAGGUCUUCGGAUCGUAAAGCUCUGUUGUCAGGGAAGAACAAGUACCGUUCGAAUAGGGCGGUACCUUGACGGUACCUGACCAGAAAGCCACGGCUAACUACGUGCCAGCAGCCGCGGUAA